CAAUAAUUGGAUGUCAUCGUCUGACAUUUCUGCUUCCAAAAUGAUAAAUUUUUCAAUUUUGGCAGACAUUGAGAAAAUUUAACAAUUUUUACGCUUAGGAAAGAAUUUUAACAAAUUCUUGUGUUAAUAAGUGCGUCGAGGCCCUGAUGAUAAAAAUCAACAAUUGUUGAUGUUAAACAAUUGUUGAGUUAAUCGAAUUAAAAAUAUUCAAACCAAUUCAAACUUGUUGGAUAGUUAUUAAUUAGUGUCUUUUAUUGAUAUAAUUGCAAUUUACAAGAAUAAUGCGCUUAUAUCAUGUGCUCUAUUGGAUUUUGGGAUGCCUGUAUAUAACAUAAUCAUAAUAACACCACACAAUCUGUUGCGCUAUACCUUAGAAC